rnacentral:rRNA from 1 species
AUGAACGCUAGCGACAGGCUUAACACAUGCAAGUCGAGGGGCAGCACAGGUAGCAAUACCGGGUGGCGACCGGCGCACGGGUGAGUAACGCGUAUGCAACUUGCCUAUCAGAGGGGGAUAACCCGGCGAAAGUCGGACUAAUACCGCAUGAAGCAGGGGCCCCGCAUGGGGAUAUUUGCUAAAGAUUCAUCGCUGAUAGAUAGGCAUGCGUUCCAUUAGGCAGUUGGCGGGGUAACGGCCCACCAAACCGACGAUGGAUAGGGGUUCUGAGAGGAAGGUCCCCCACAUUGGUACUGAGACACGGACCAAACUCCUACGGGAGGCAGCAGUGAGGAAUAUUAGUCAAUGGCCGAGAGGCUGAACCAGCCAAGUCGCGUGAGGGAUGAAGGUUCUAUGGAUCGUAAACCUCUUUUAUAAGGGAAUAAAGUGCGGGACGUGUCCCGUUUUGUAUGUACCUUAUGAAUAAGGAUCGGCUAACUCCGUGCCAGCAGCCGCGGUAAUACGGAGGAUCCGAGCGUUAUCCGGAUUUAUUGGGUUUAAAGGGUGCGUAGGCGGCCUUUUAAGUCAGCGGUGAAAGUCUGUGGCUCAACCAUAGAAUUGCCGUUGAAACUGGGGGGCUUGAGUAUGUUUGAGGCAGGCGGAAUGCGUGGUGUAGCGGUGAAAUGCAUAGAUAUCACGCAGAACCCCGAUUGCGAAGGCAGCCUGCCAAGCCAUUACUGACGCUGAUGCACGAAAGCGUGGGGAUCAAACAGGAUUAGAUACCCUGGUAGUCCACGCAGUAAACGAUGAUCACUAGCUGUUUGCGAUACACUGUAAGCGGCACAGCGAAAGCGUUAAGUGAUCCACCUGGGGAGUACGCCGGCAACGGUGAAACUCAAAGGAAUUGACGGGGGCCCGCACAAGCGGAGGAACAUGUGGUUUAAUUCGAUGAUACGCGAGGAACCUUACCCGGGUUUGAACGCAUUCGGACCGAGGUGGAAACACCUUUUCUAGCAAUAGCCGUUUGCGAGGUGCUGCAUGGUUGUCGUCAGCUCGUGCCGUGAGGUGUCGGCUUAAGUGCCAUAACGAGCGCAACCCUUGCCACUAGUUACUAACAGGUAAAGCUGAGGACUCUGGUGGGACUGCCAGCGUAAGCUGCGAGGAAGGCGGGGAUGACGUCAAAUCAGCACGGCCCUUACAUCCGGGGCGACACACGUGUUACAAUGGCGUGGACAAAGGGAAGCCACCUGGCGACAGGGAGCGAAUCCCCAAACCACGUCUCAGUUCGGAUCGGAGUCUGCAACCCGACUCCGUGAAGCUGGAUUCGCUAGUAAUCGCGCAUCAGCCAUGGCGCGGUGAAUACGUUCCCGGGCCUUGUACACACCGCCCGUCAAGCCAUGGGAGCCGGGGGUACCUGAAGUCCGUAACCGCGAGGAUCGGCCUAGGGUAAAACUGGUGACUGGGGCU